rnacentral:rRNA from 1 species
CAAACUCCGAAUACCAGAAGCGAGUCCGGGAGAUAGACAGCGGGGGCUAAGCUUCGUUGUCGAGAGGGGAACAGCCCAGACCGCCGAUUAAGGUCCCUAAUUUUAUGCUAAGUGGGUAAGGAAGUGAUGAUUCGAAGACAGUUGGAAUGUUGGCUUAGAGGCAGCAAUCAUUUAAAGAGUGCGUAACAGCUCACCAAUCGAGAAUCAUUGCGCCGAUAAUAAACGGGACUAAGCAUAAAACCGACAUCGCGGGUGUGUCGAUAAGACACGCGGUAGGAGAGCGUAGUAUUCAGCAGAGAAGGUGUACCGGAAGGAGGGCUGGAGCGGAUACUAGUGAAGAUCCAUGGCAUAAGUAACGAUAAAGGGAGUGAAAAUCUCCCUCGCCGUAAGCCCAAGGUUUCCAGGGUCAAGCUCGUCUUCCCUGGGUUAGUCGGCCCCUAAGUUGAGGCGUAACUGCGUAGACGAUGGAGCAGCAGGUUAAAUAUUCCUGCACCACCUAAAACUAUAGCGAAGGAAUGACGGAGUAAGUUAAGCACGCGGACGAUUGGAAGAGUCCGUAGAGCAAUGAGAACGGUUAGUAGGCAAAUCCGCUAACAUAAGAUCAGGUCGCGAUCAAGGGGAAUCUUCGGAGGAACCGAUGGUGUGGAGCGAGGCUUUCAAGAAAUAAUUUCUAGCUGUUGAUGGUGACCGUACCAAAACCGACACAGGUGGGCGAGAUGAAUAUUCUAAGGCGCGCGAGAUAACUUUCGUUAAGGAACUCGGCAAAUUAUCCCCGUAACUUCGGAAUAAGGGGAGCCUUUUAGGGUGACUAUGGAACGAUAGGAGCCCCGGGGGGCCGCAGAGAAAUGGCCCAGGCGACUGUUUAGCAAAAACACAGCACUAUGCAAACCUCUAAGGGGAAGUAUAUGGUGUGACGCCUGCCCAAUGCCAAAAGGUUAAAGGGAUAUGUCAGCUGCAAAGCGAAGCAUUGAACCUAAGCCCUGGUGAAUGGCCGCCGUAACUAUAACGGUGCUAAGGUAGCGAAAUUCCUUGUCGGGUAAGUUCCGACCUGCACGAAUGGUGUAACGAUCUGGGCACUGUCUCAACGAAAGACUCGGUGAAAUUGUAGUAGCAGUGAAGAUGCUGUUUACCCGCGAAAGGACGAAAAG